UUAUCCAGCACAAAACGCCCCAACUAGCCCAGCCAACCGGUUCGACCCGCCCCACUUUCCCCAAAUAUAAGAUACAUAUUAUAAACAAAGACCCAACCCUAAUUUUUGCUCCCAAAUGGUGCCCAGCAUUGUUCAUCACCUCCUUUACCCCCAAUCGAUCCCAACUCUCCUGAAACUCAGGAGAAUUCACUCACACACGGGCCCCAUCUCACCACGUCACCAAGAUUCUAACUGCUUCUGACAAAUUUCCUCUCCUAUGUGCUAGACGCGUUUGGGAAUUUCUGAAGGAUGAAUUCCAUAAAAUGGGAGUCGUGGAUUGAUUUUGGGAUCAAUCAUUUCCUUCCACCUGUCCGGAUUCGUUCUAAAAAGGAUUUUUUUCGGAGUUCUUGAAGAAAAGAAGAGAAACUUCGAGAGAGGGGUAUAUAUACCUAGGUCUGGUUUCAAGUUGAGGGGGUGGGAUUUUUUAAGGCAGAGGUCAUUUGAGAAAAUUAGGGUUCUAGACAAAGUUUCUCUUCUUCUCUUUUGUUCAUCUGCAUUUUUCUUUGUUUAAUUCCACUCACAAUGCAAAAAAUACAAAAAACAAUUGUUUCAUUUAGUUUGAUAUUAGCAUCUUUGUUCUCUUCAUCUUUAAAUUCAGAAAUUUCACGUUUAUUAUGGGUUUGGACUGAGUUCGAGAGCCGAGGUUUGUUCGAAGGUCAUGAUUUGCGAUUCCGAGAUUAAUUUGUUGUUUUUGUACGUAUCAAUUUUUAGCAGAUUGAAGAAAGAUCAUUACAGGUUCGUUUCUUUCCUUCGCUACUUUUCUGGUGUGCAAAAUAUGAUGAAAGCUUAUAAAUAAAUGUUUGAGUUUGAGAUUUAAUAGACGCAUUUAUUUUCGAGUCUCGAAUGGUGUCGACUCUGGAUUUUGAUCGAGCUCUGUUUCAUCUUUGUGCUUAAAGCAUUUUUUGAGUUUGGAUUUACUUAUUUUGAAUGUGUUCAAUUAAAUUCCAGCUUGAUUUUUGAUUCCAUAAGUCUCUUAGAGUAAUCUUAGUGUCAUUUUUAGGCUUAAACUUACUCAAAACAUGCUUACUUCAAGUUUGAGGUCAUUGUAUGAAGGUUCAGUGAUUACUCGUUAUGGUCUCAUGAACAUCUCUGUGUGUUUGGUUAAAUUUGAGCUUUAAAAAUGAAAUCGGAAAUCAUCUUUUGAGUUCCUUGUUUAUUUCUAUAUGAACUAGCAUCGAGUCUUAUCUUCGAGUAUAUAUUAGUGUCAAGUUGUUCUUUACCUCACAUGUUCAGGAACAAGUUUUUGGGGAAUCCUUUUCUUGUUGGGGUUUGAAUUUGAAAUGAGUGCUGAAAUCAUCUUUGGUUCUUCUUUGAAAUGCUGGGAAUUUGAAAUCAUCCGAGGUUUGAAUUUGAAAUGCUGGGAAUCCUUUCUUUCUUCUUUUUUCUUCUAUUUUGUUUUUUCUGUUAAGAUAUGCUAGUAAUUUAACUAAAAAUUAGUUUGAAUUCGUGUCAGUUUCAUGCUAGGUCUGUUCAUUUCUUAAUGAUUCGAGUCUGAAACUAUCCUAAUUCAUCUAUCGAUUAAAAUCUAUUUGUGCUUAUUUGACAUGGUUUGAAUUGUUUGUGACUUUCAUCCUUAAGGAUUUCAAAAGGAUAAGCUAAGGUGUUCCAGUAGUCUAUCCUCCUUCAUUUAAUUAGUCUUUUAAAGUCAGUUGUUGGCAAGACAUAACUAGUAUUUGGAAACUAGAUCAUGUUCAUGUUUGAGUCCCUGCGGGUUAGGUUCAUGUUUUGAUUUCCAAACUUCUGUUAAUUGUCAUGUUUAGAAUUAACUGUUGCUAGAAUUAUUUGGAAGAUCGAUGUUGUAGUUGAAUGGAAAAUGAGUAUCUGUUGUUGGAUUGAGUUGGUUGAAGUUAAGUCAUAAUUGGUCUGAUUGCCUAAGUCUACUGGUGUUUCGAUCCUCUCUGUCAUACCCUUGCACUAAUUUAUACCAGUUUUUAUCUACAAAUGAAAGAUAAUUUUAAGAAGUCAUGUACUUGAUGCAUAUUUGAUCUUUCCAGUUGUGUGGUCGAAUUUAAGUGCCAAUUGAAUUCUAAAAUUGUUCUUUAGUAUUCAUUGAUUGUUGUCAAUCUGUUCGGUUCGUUUUGGCAGUUAGAAUUGUUACAAUCCCUUGUUAAGCUUUAAUUGGCUCGUACUUUAAAAUAGUUAGUCAAGCAAACCAUAUAUUCUGGCUAGUUUGUCUCAAAAAAUUAUUUGGUAUUCUUGGGUAAUGCUAGGGUUGCCGAGAAACUUGCCUCAUUAAAUUGGAAUGCACAUGAACUUGGUUUAAUUUUGAAAUCUUUCUCAAUUUGGAGAAUGUGUCUUUGCUAAGAAUAACUUUGUGUUGAUUGAUUCAAUGACUUGUUAUAAGGAUUGACUCAUUUCUUCAUAUUUCCAUCUUAAUUGAGUUUGGUACAGAGGCAUACGGUUGAACAUAUGGUUCCAUUAUUAUAGUUUCAUUCAUUUGCUUAAUCUGUUAGCGCUAAAGAAACUACAGAUUGUGCUCUUUUUUUGUUGGCAUGCUUGUGAUUUAAAAUGUUGGGUGUGGUGUUUAGUGUAAAAUGAUUGUUUAGUUUGUUGAUUCAGUUAAUUCUUGGCAGCAGAAUGUAGGACGCUUGAGGAAAAGAACCAAAUCUGAGGCUGAUUACAUAAUAUGUCCUUAAAUAUAGAAACAGGUUGAGAUUUUUUGACUGUCUGAAACUUUCGCAAUCAACUUGUGAUGAAUGAAUGGUGAAAAAUAAACUAUCGUGGUUGUGUACACGUUCGCGUGACAUAAUUACGAUCUUAAAAAUAAAAUCGGAGUAUGCGUUCAUGCAACUUCAACCGAAAUUUCUUAAUAAUAACAUAACGUUAUUAAUUGUGGACACGUUCGCGUGACUUGAUUUUUGAUGCGCCAAACAAAUGGGUACACGUACGCGUGACUCGUUUUUUUAGGAUAAUUUCUUAAUGAAAAGAGGUGAAAGCACAUAGGUUCUAAAAAGGGUAAUUAGACAAUUUGAUUAAGCCAAGUAUGAUCAAAGCGACCGUGCUAGAACUAAGAAGCCCAAAAAUGCCUAACACCUUCUCUCGGGUUAACAUAAUUACUUACACGGAUUUCUGUGUUCGCGGACCAUAAAUAAGAGUCAACUUCCUCGAUUCGGAAUUUUAUAUCGGUGACUUAGGACACCAUAAAUUAUCCCAAGUGGUGACUCGGGACACCAUAAAUUAUCCCAAGUGGUGACUCGGGACACCAUAAAUUAUCCCAAGUGGUGACUCUGAUUUUAAUAUAAAUAAUCCCGUUUUGAUUUUCACUUAAAUUGGAAAAAACUCCAUUAUACCCCUUUUCGGGGGUAGUAAAAAGGAGGUGUGACAGCUCUAGCAACUCCGGUGGGGAUAAGAACCCAGAAUCUCUGGUUCGGGGUUCAAUAAUUCGAGAUUUUUAAUAUGAUUUUAUUUGGAUUUAUUUAUAGUUAAUAUUACUGUAUUUUGUGAACAUUUUGUGCUAAUUGUUGUCUAUUUACCGUUUUGAUAUUAUUUGAAUUAUAUAUAACUGUCUUCUUACGCCACCCCUCCGAGUCUUCUGAAAAUGGUGAACACAUUCGCAUUGCCCACUUUUUCUAUAGAAAUUAUACCAAAUAGAACGAGGUUGGGCCAUCAACAAGGCCGGGUAGACUUUAGUGCUCCCGGUAUGUUGUCCCCUCUUCUGCUCGAGUUGUCCGCUCGGGUAAGCCAGGUCAAGAACACAACCCUAGGUUUAAACUUAGAAUAACACAGCCUCAUGUCGGAUCCCUAGUAGGAACGUUUGUUUGCAUCACGUGCAUUUGAUUUUGGGGACUCAACACAGGGAUUGGGCCCAUCUAGGACAGGUGUACACAAAAUAACAGACCAUCCUGAUGCAUCCUACGUGCUAUGUGAACAUUUAUUUGUUUUGGCUUGCAUGUUGACCGGCUAGGAAAAGUGAAUCAAGAGAAAAACCAAGAACGAUAUAGGAAAAAAUAAUGCCCGGCUCUAAAAAUCCCCGGUAAUUGGAAAUAUCCUGAAACUCUGCCAAAAUUUUCAAAAAAAGAGUCAAGGAAAAAGAGUCUUUUCAAAAUGAGUCAAUAAUAUGUCUCUUUCAAAUAUGUCAAAAUUGAUCGAACUACGCAGGUCUGAUUCUCACCGGAUGUGGGAUACAUAGGCAACCUACAUAAGGUUCAGCCUUACUUUUCAAAAAAGAAAAGAAAAAGAAGAAGAAGAGUAAAUAGUCAAAUAGAUGUAGUUUGGGUUCUGGUCAAAAGAGUAAGCCGACCCAGCUUCGGUUAUGUCUUAAGUCGUUCUUGUUGGGAUAGCCUUAGAGUAUCUUUCAGUUGUCGAAUAGCUAUUUUUCGUAAAGAACAGAUAAGUCUGUCGGUAAAGUGUCAUUUUUCCAUAAAGUACUUUUCCCCGUCCUCAAAAUUUAUUUGGAAUUGUGAAGGGGCCACGUUUGCAAAAAACGAUCACUUUUGCUAAAAGUAGCAUAGAGGGGAGGGGGUCAUGGUCCGUUGAUUUUUCUUUUAGAAAUUGAAAAACCUGUAUUACAAAAAGUCCACCAGAGUCAAACCUAACCUUAACCUUCCACAGGUACAAAUGAACAUUGUCCAAAAUUCGUCAGAGUUGGUCAUAGACCAGGCUCAGCUGCAGCUGCAUAUGUGGUG
rnacentral:lncRNA from 1 species